UGGACCAUUAAUGAGAGAAUGUCAUGAGCCAAGGAUUAUGACUGAUCAAAUUCUGCAUAUCAGAGGUACAAU
rnacentral:snoRNA from 1 species